AUGGCCGGUUCGGGCGGAGCAUUAGAAGGCCCAGCACCAUCGCGACCCCGAGCGCCAUGUCCAAGACGUGGUCCACGGCGACGGAAACCGUUCCGGCGGCCUCCGAACCGGCGUAGAUCACGGGCGUGGCGGUAUUGGCGGCGAAGUCCGCCAACACCAUGGCGACGGCGACGGCCCUGUCGGCGUCUACCGCCGCUACGAACAAGGUGCAGGAAGAAGGACAGGAGACCACGAGGCAUCCUCUCACCUUUUCCUUUCUUCCCUUCUGGUUCUCUUUUCCGGCGACUGUCGCCGGCGUGA
rnacentral:rRNA from 1 species